UUUUGCACAGAGUGAGGUUUAAUGGUACUUUCAGCAUGUCGGAGUAGCGUCUUCUAAAUCCAAAACAGCUCGAGUUGUGUCAGUAGAAAAUGAUCCAAACGACCCAACCAUUGGUUUCUUAUUGGAUGGGAUGGUCCGGCUUUGCUGUCUGGUCCGCAAGUAUAUUGCAGCCAUUAGAGGCUAUGCCUUAUCAUACCUAUCAUCCG